GGGAAAUUCUCCUACUGAUAUCAGAGCUUGCAAACUUGGACCAAGCUGAUUCUCACUUGUAACACAAUUUCCAGACCAGAUUGAAGACUGAAAUAAAUAAAAGCAAUUUGUGGUGCCUACAACCUCAUAACUGCUGGUCUGCAAGUGGAACCUCACAAUGAGAUAACUCCCAGUGCAGCAAAACUCACUGACCACCACUGACUGUGUUGGACUCUUCUCCGGAUUCCUCUGGAACAGAGAAGAGGGCUGUGAAAGUGGAGCAGAACAGGACUAGCUCUGGCAUUUUGGCUGCUACAGCUGAGAACAUUGAUUUGAAACUGUAUCCUGAAAUGCUGAGACCAUUGGUGAGCGGUAGGAAGCCUUCAGCAAUGACCAGCUUUACUCCAGAAGGAAAAGAUUCUCGUUUGCUAAGAUCCAGAGUAAACCAGACCUGCCUCCUGGGACCUGCAUACCACAACAGUCCAGCGAUCACCAUUGUGGAUACUUCUUUUGAUGAAGGCUCAAGGUUUUGUGCCUGGACCUGCACUUCCCACCAUUGCAAGUCCUGCCCAGCUUGCACAGAAUAGCUUCAGAAAUGACGAAGGCUGCAAGGUGCUCACACACUGUGAUGACCAGCUGGACAGGAUUGAAAAGGACAGUGAAAAGUUAUGCAAGCAAGCAGUGGAGCCACAGGCAGUGGGCAGUGCUGGGGACAACCUACUCUCCCUUCUGGAGCUCCAACUGGAUCACUGGCACCGGGUUUUAAAGAUAACCUGGACACCAAGAGCAAGACAGACCCAGCAGGACCCAAGCAAUCUCCAGUUCCUGAUGUCUGACCCUGUUUUUCUUGUGGAGCUCAUGUCUGAGGCUCUGCUCAAACCACCCUCUCCUCCCUUUUCUAUAAGGAUGGACAUGGUGCCUUCCUGUCUUUGGGCAUGGCAGCCCAGGCCAGCUGUGCACAGAUGUGCACCUUCCCAGCAGCAGCAAGGCCAAGCUUACUCUAAGCAAGGACUGAUGCCUUGGGCCUGAGCUUGGCCAGCAGCAACCAAUAGGGAGAGAUGUGAAGGACACCAGACCAUGCAUUUAAGGCCUCCAUGGAUGAAUCCCUGCUUUCACCAGUGCCAUCACUCCAGCAUUGUCCCGGAGAGGCUUCCAUGCAGCACUGUGGGACAAGCCCAGGUGCUCCCUCCUUCACUGCCCACGGGAGGCACUGUCCUGGCUGGGAUCUUCAUUCUGUCCCUGCUUCCACAAGGAGUAUGAGGAACACUGAGCAGCACCAUCACAGCCUGUUUCUCUUCAGCAUAAGGGUGACCAGUGUCCCACCUUGCCUUGGAGGUCAAUGGAAGUUCACUUGUCAUCUUCAUGCACAGGAUUUCAACCCAUGUCUGUGAUCAGUGAUGAAAUGAAAUUCACAGCUUGGAAUAAUUUAUCCAGCAUACCCAAUCAAACACAAACAUCUUUUGUGCUUGAAAAUGAAUCAGGGCUGCAGGCAGCUAGCCUGCUGCAGGGGUUUGUGACAGAUUAAUGAGCUGAGAACAAGCUGCCACCUCCGCCCCCAUCAUCAGUGACUUUCCAGUCUGAGGAGAGGGACGCUGAGCUGGAGGUGAAGGAUAUACUCUCUGAUAAGUGUUGCAGUGGGAGGCGAGAAAUAAGAGCUUCAAGUGGAGGAGGAGGGGAGGAAAAAGGACAAGCACUGUCCUCUGUUAAGCAGGGUACAGUUUAGACAGAGCAGCUGCCUGACAGUCUUGUGGCAGGAGGGUCAGGGCAGGAGCAGCCCUGUGCUUGCAGCACCUGUUAUUGAAUACUACCUGCAGGUACCAGGGCAGCACAGACCGUGAUUCCCUGACUUCUGCCAGUCACGUGGGAAGGUCAGGGUCCUGCGAGAGGAAAGGAGAUGAUGAAACACUGACAAGGUCUGCCCUCAGUGAGAUGCACUAACACCAAUGCAGAAAGGACCAUAUCCCAGAGACUUCUUGGGCUUAAAGAUGAAAAUAAAAUAUGAAUUUGAGUGUCACAACUCGGUGAUUUU